rnacentral:rRNA from 1 species
AACGAACGCUGGCGGCAGGCUUAACACAUGCAAGUCGAGCGCACCGCUAGUGGAGCUGCAGACGGGUGAGUAACGCGUGGGAAUCUACCCAUCACUACGAAACAACCCCGGGAAACUGGCCCUAAUACCGUAUACGUCAGUCGGGAGCAACAUUUACCUCUGAUUGAUCAGCCCGCCUUGGAUUAGCUAGUUGGAGGGGUAAUGGCCAACCAAGGCGACGAUCAAUAGCUUGUCCGAGAGGAUGAUCAGCCACAGUGGGACUGAGACACGGCCCAGACUCCUACGGGAGGCAGCAGUGGGGAAUAUUGGACAAUGGGCGAAAGCCUGAUCCAGCCAUGCCGCGUGAGUGAUGAAGGCCGUCGGGUUGUAAAGCUCUUUCACCAGUGAAGAUAAUGACGGUAACCGGAGAAGAAGCCCCGGCUAACUACGUGCCAGCAGCCGCCGUAA